rnacentral:rRNA from 1 species
UACGUAGGGUGCGAGCGUUAAUCGGAAUUACUGGGCGUAAAGCGUGCGCAGGCGGUUUUGUAAGCCAGAUGUGAAAUCCCCGGGCUCAACCUGGGAAUGGCAUUUGGGACUGCAAGGCUGGAGUGUGGCAGAGGAGACUGGAAUUCCACGUGUAGCAGUGAAAUGCGUAGAGAUGUGGAGGAACACCGAUGGCGAAGGCAGCCCCCUGGGCUAACACUGACGCUCAUGCACGAAAGCGUGGGGAGCAAACAGG